AAACAUCAGGUUAUGAGACUUCCCCCCAAGAGAACAGGUGCCUAACAUCUUACACAACUAAGAGCAAAAGAGAGAAAAUCUCCAAGAGGAUAGGCUACAGUGGAGAUGAAGUCCCAGUAUGUUGCCUCGGCUGGUCGCAAACUCCUGAGCUCAAGUGAUCCUGCCACCUCGGCUUCUUAAAGUGCGGGUAGUACUUAAUUUGUCUAGAAAUGACAGUGUAAUGCCACUCUGGUCAAUGAGACCUAAGAGGAAGUCUACUGGAAGACAUCUGGGAAAGAUUUACCAUCCUGAAAAAAGACAUGAUCAUGACAUCUUGCAGAAAAGAGGAAGAGAGAAUUUCUAGGACAAAUGGCUUGUUUUUUACAUUAGAGAUGAACCAAAAGUUGCACACUUCACCUCUGCUCACAUCCCAUCCUUCUUAAUCAUAUAGCCACAACUUGCUUCAAGUGAGACUGAAAAUACAGUCCCUAAUGGGGGAAGAGGUGAUGACCAUGUGUACAGCCUAAGUUUUUUUUAAGAAAAAAAAAA
rnacentral:lncRNA from 1 species